AAUGAACGCUGGCGGCAUGCCUUACACAUGCAAGUCGAACGGCAGCAUGACCUAGCUUGCUAGGUUGAUGGCGAGUGACGAACGGGUGAGUAAUGCAUCGGAACGUGCCUUUUAGUGGGGGAUAACGUAGCGAAAGUUACGCUAAUACCGCAUAUUCUCUGAGGAGGAAAGCAGGGGACCUUCGGGCCUUGCGCUAGAAGAGCGGCCGAUGUCGGAUUAGCUAGUUGGUGAGGUAAAGGCUCACCAAGGCAACGAUCCGUAGCGGGUCUGAGAGGAUGAUCCGCCACACUGGGACUGAGACAAGGCCCAGACUCCUACGGGAGGCAGCAGUGGGGAAUUUUGGACAAUGGGCGCAAGCCUGAUCCAGCCAUGCCGCGUGAGUGAAGAAGGCCUUCGGGUUGUAAAGCUCUUUCGGCUGGGAAGAAAUCGCACCCUCUAAUACAGGGUGUGGAUGACGGUACCAGCAUAAGAAGCACCGGCUAACUACGUG
rnacentral:rRNA from 1 species